ACGAACGCUGGCGGCGUGCUUAACACAUGCAAGUCGAACGGAAAGGCCCUGCUUUUGUGGGGUGCUCGAGUGGCGAACGGGUGAGUAACACGUGAGUAACCUGCCCUUGACUUUGGGAUAACUUCAGGAAACUGGGGCUAAUACCGGAUAGGAGCUCCUGCUGCAUGGUGGGGGUUGGAAAGUUUCGGCGGUUGGGGAUGGACUCGAGGCUUAUCAGCUUGUUGGUGGGGUAGUGGCUUACCAAGGCUUUGACGGGUAGCCGGCCUGAGAGGGUGACCGGCCACAUUGGGGCUGAGAUACGGCCCAGACUCCUACGGGAGGCAGCAGUGGGGAAUAUUGCACAAUGGGCGGAAGCCUGAUGCAGCAACGCCGCGUGCGGGAUGACGGCCUUCGGGUUGUAAACCGCUUUCGCCUGUGACGAAGCGUGAGUGACGGUAAUGUGUAAAGAAGCACCGGCUAACUACGUG
rnacentral:rRNA from 1 species